AUACGUAGGGGGCGAGCGUUAUCCGGAUUUAUUGGGCGUAAAGCGUGUGUAGGCGGUUUGUUAAGUUUAAGAUUAAAGCCCGGGGCUCAACUCCGGUAAGUCUUAAAAACUGGCAGGCUUGAGUACGGUAGAGGCAAACGGAAUUUCUAGUGUAGCGGUGAAAUCCGUAGAUAUUAGGAGGAACACCGGUGGCGAAGGCGGCUACCUGGACCGAUAUUGACGCUGAGACGCGAAAGCGUGGGUAGC
rnacentral:rRNA from 1 species